GGUAGAGAGAUGCUGUCAGCUGCCGCCAUGAGAAGAUGUUAAGAUACCGGAGGCCAUCUCUCCAGAAGAAAAGAGUCCAGAGUGUCCAGAAAGGAUUCAAAGGCCACUUUCAAAAGAGACACUCCACUUACCGCAAGGGCUUCCUUCUUUGCACAGGGCCAACUGUUGAAAGAGAAGAGUACUUGGUGCAGAGUCCUGCUUUAGUAAGUGGAUAUCUCACCGAUGUGUUCUUUCUGGAAAGUUCUCAAGGAAGGCUGCCAGUUCCAGAGGGCCAGCCAGAAGAGAAGGAAAAUGGACACCAUAGUGUGUAGGAAGCUAUUCACUGUACCAUGCAUGGAAGUGUCCAGGAUGAACUGACCCAGCCUGUUGUGCUACAUGUUGGGAUUAGGGAUUGAGACACAAGACAGGAACAGUUCUUUCUUCCUGAUGGGCCAAAUAGUUGGUACAUUUUGCUUCAGGCCUUCAAAAUCUCACCAUUCACCUUGAGUAAAGAUAGUAGUCUGGGGUGGAAGACCUAUCCACUGAAAAAUCUGUUACAGGAGUCAGCUGGGUUGAUGAGGCCAUGGCCACCUUGGCAGUGCACACAAGAACGCACAUAAUCAUGUGCAAUAACAACCUUCCUUAAGCCAACCUGAAGUCUGCUGCUGCUCUUGGUGAUUGGUGACCUAUGAACUUCAGAUUGAUGGGGCCAAUGAGAAGAAGCCAACACAGCCAAGGAAAUGGCUGACAGCCAAUGGGGUGCCAGGAGGGUGUAUUUAGUCUUGCUUCAUACCAGCAAAACAGGAGUCUGUGGGUUGCUUCUCACCUGACUCCUGAUGUCUGCAUCAUUGACUCUGCUCCUUCUCUCCUCCGUCCACAAGAGAUGUUCCAGCUGUUUGGUCCAGCUGAACAAUGGCAGUUCAGCUUGUAACAACUGGCACCCAAUGUGGGGCUCUAGGACCCUGUGUGGGCAUGGGCUUUGACCUCGCCUGGGUCAGUGUGGUGAUAUUUUAUUUUGCUGAGAUGUGAUUUUAUUUGUAUGUUAAUAAAUAAAGUUUGCCUGGAGAUCAGAGGUCACGUAGCAAGCCAUAAACAGAAGUUAGACAGUGGUAGCACAUGC